AUUAAUGCCAAAAUAACAUGCAAAACAGGUGGGGCUCAAAACUUGGGAGGCUCUGCCCCACCUGCCCUGAAUGACGCAUUGCCACUGCAUAUAUAUGGUGGUGAAGUUCUCUGCUCAGCUGACAGAAACAGGAGAUACAGGAGUCCAUUCUGUUCCAAGAAGGGUACCUUGGCUCUCCUCUAUGUACAGCACUCUGGGGACUUUCUGCAGUUGUUCUCAGGAGAACAGCGAGGCAGAGGACACCAAGUUUGGACCAAUUAUGUUAACGUCCCACUUUAAGAACCUGGAGAUCUUCACUGGUUCUGAGGGAGGUGACUUUACUGUACCUGGGACACCUUCCAUCGCUACCACUGUCUGAAAAAGAGCCACAGGGUGGUCAAGACAUCUGCUGCAACUUCAUCUUUAGUGUGUCAGCUCUGCUACAGAUGGUUCUGGCAUGCUGAUAACAUCUGAUCUGAUGAUAUGCGAUAUGACUCCUGUAUUAUUGACUGUGUGCAAUAAAACUUCCAAUGCCAAAUUGAAAUAAUUUGGGAUUCUGUAAUUGACAAUGUUCGAAACGACCAUCAUUGAGUCUAUCCUCACCUCCUCUAUCACUGCAAUGGAUUGUCCAGUCUGCUGAGAGGUUCAUUGGGUUCCACCUGCCCUCCAUCGAUGUCCUGCACAACUCCAGGGCAAGGAAGCGUGCAUGAAAGAUCAUCGCCGACUCCUUUCGCCUCCUCUUCCAAAGACUCUCUUCUGGCAAAUGGUUCAGGUCAAUCACGACCAAAACCUCCCACCACCUGAACAGUUUCUUCCGUGGCCCUCACCAACCGGCCACCUGGUCUGCGAUAAUCCUGUCAUCCAUGGAUUUUGCACUAUUCAUCCAUAAACUAUGCACCCUGCAUGAUCAACUCAGAACUGCACAUUUUAUAAUGUAGCUUAAAGUGUUCAUUGUGUACUUACUGUAUGUGGAUAUGUGGACAAUCUGCAUCUAUAUAUUUUUUUGUCUGUAUAUUCUGUUUAUCAUCUGUCUGUAUAUUCUGUUUAUUGUUGCAGCACCAUUUCAUAGAGUCCUGUACAUGCACAUAUAUUUGCAGAAUAAAGCUGAUUCUGACAUGUUAAUCUAGUUUAGCUGGUUAAUCCUAUGUCAGUUUACAAUCUAUUAUUUGAGACUGGUUAUAUACUAGCAGGUAGAAGAUUCUUUAUUUUGUGUAUUCCUUUAAUUUAAAAUCCCCAUGUGCUGUGUGUGUGUCCUUGGGCAUAUUACCCAAAAUAUUGGCUCCUGCCUGCAAUUGGUAGACUUGUUUUAUGGUGUGUACUAGAGAUGACUGUCUGCUUUUCGUUUUACAGACGAAGGUUGCUGGCUAACAAGGAAUUAGCUAGCUAACUUUAGCAAGUAGAUUCCACUGAACUCAAGGUAUUGUACUCAGGUUAGCAGGUAGCCAAGUGGUUAGAGCGUUGGGCCCGUAUCUAAAAUGUUGCUGGGUCAAAUCCCCGAGCUGACAAGGUGAAAAUCUGUCGUUCUGCCCCUGAACCGUUAACCCUAGUAGGCCAUCAUCGUAAAAUAAGAAUUUGUUCUUAACUGGCUUGCCUAGUUACAUGAAGGUUAAAUAUAAAAAAGUGCAAGUAUUAGAAUUUAUUUGGUUAUCAAGCUGCUGAGUUUCCCAAGUCGUUCAGCACUUAUUGCGGAAGCCGAAUAAGUUGACGGCUCGUAAUAGCCAAUCACAACACUGGACUGGCAGGAAUUUGUCCAUCACACCAGUGAAAGUGACCCACCUUAUUAGCCCGUCCCCCAUCAGCUUGAAAUCCAAUCCCAAAGUUACCAAGGCUUGAGAAAGAGCAAUACUUGACAGGUCGGAUUGUAUGGUGUCAAAUCAAAUUUAAAAAAGUAGAACGCGCACGAGAUGAAAGGUGAAACAUUGUGCGAGCAAUCACAGAGUCUAGAGAGAAGAGCGAGCAGAGCUUAUGUGGACAAUUUAAUGCGUUACUUUUUUCUUUCUUUUUUUUACACAUUUGAACCACAUUUCUUUGCUUACAGUUCUAUAUGUACAAUUUAGGACAAUGUUCUGCUCACUCAAAGUCACACUUAAAAAUCUCAAGUUAAUUUGUGCUCUCGACUAGCCUGUGCCCUCGUGGGACUCAUGCUCUGCUUGCUCAACCACAUUCCUGUAUGUGUGGCACAGGGACAGUGAAGGAAGAUUUACCCUUGUUUGCAUUAGCACUACACACCAGAUUAAAAUCAUCAACACUUGAUGAUAUGUGGAUCAUUUCUGUGCUAGGGCAAAAAGAAGAAAUGUGCACCCCUUUGGGUCCACAGGACCAGGAUUAAGAAAUGCUGUUCUAUCUAGACUAAUCACAUUCCCCAUGUCACCUCUCCCUAGCAACCACACUGUAUGUAGACAUGAUCCAACUCUGUGAACACAUUGGCUAUACUUUAAUGGAUGUUUGUAACAUGUACCUGUUUGCUAUAUUUGUCGUUUAAAAAAAAGUUUCAGUGUUUCUCCAAUUUGCAAACAAAGUAAUCGUGACACUAUUUAUGUUUUUCAGGUGAUCGUGGUGACAGUCUAUCCUAUAGAUUGGGAACUCUAGUUCUCUGAAUGCAAUUUGUUUAAUCUGGUGUGUUAGCUGGGGCUGAAAAUGUGUGACACCAAUCAUGCCCCCGAGUACCACAAUGAGGAUGACCAUAAGAAGACGGAAUCAAUACAAGAUCCUGCAUGAUCUGAUACAGGGCUCUCCUAGAGAGAUACCGUCUUGUAGGUUUUCUAAAACCCUAAUCUAGUGCAACUGAUUCUAAUAACUAGCUGGUUGAUAAGCUUACAGGAGGGUAAACACUCCAGUAGAUCUGAACAUCCACCUAGUCCCCCGACCAUUUCUUUUGUCACUUCUCUCCUUCUACUAUAGCAGUGUUUGGUUAUUGGACUGAGAGGGAUGUGAACACAGACAGCUUGCAGCUACCACAUUUAACGAUGUGUGAUUCUUUCAUUUCAUAUUCUUGUUUGUGCUGAGGAGGUCGAGUAGGUUAAUAUGAAUAGUACUGAUGACUGUAUUACAAUCAUGCUGGUAAGUUUGACUUGAGUGAAACAUUAUAUUUGCUUAUGUUUGGUAUUGUAAUAAUUUCUGUAACUGGUCUCACCACCUCUUGCUUGCAUUUCAAUAGCUGUUCUUUAAGAAUUAUACACAGGAGCGGCUCUAGCCUUUUGGGGGCCCUAAGUGAGAUUUGGUCUUGGGGCCCCAAACCUACAUUUGACAUUUUAGUCAUUUAGCAGAUGCUUUUAUCCUUGUUCAAGUGCACAUAGACAGAUUAUUUACUGGUACUCCUGGAGGUCAGGGCCCCUGGGCACGUGCCCAAUUGGUAGUCAGCCAUGAUUACUACCAGUUUACAUAACUGGCUAGACUAACUACCUAGUGGCCGGCACAAGAUGGAGGGAAAGUUGUAACUAACGAAAUUACAGUUUUCAUUUUUUUAACCUUUAUUUAACUAGGCAAAUCAGUUAGGAACUAAUUCUUAUUUACAAUGAUGG